rfam:Chlorocebus sabaeus isolate 1994-021 chromosome 8, whole genome shotgun sequence.
UGCUCACUUCGGCAAUAUCCUAACCCUGAAAUAACACAGAGAAGAUUAACAUGGCUCCUGUGCAAAGAUGACAUGCAAAUUCGUGAAGCAUCCCGUAUGUUU